rnacentral:lncRNA from 1 species
AAAAUGGAAUGUGAAAUAGGAGAGAGGUAUAUUGAAAUGUUCACAAGGUUCACUUCACCGAAAUGAAACUUUCCCUCUCGCAGAUGUCAAACCCUCCCCCCUUUUUCGUGCGUAAGUCCCCUCCCAUUUCCCAUCAAACUGUUGCUCCCUACAUUCUUGACGCAUCCUCUGAUGUCAUUCUAUUCUCUCAUCACUGUCACUUUGCCUCUCUUGCUUCUUAAUUUUCUUCCUUUUUCCUACUCCUCUCUUUCCUCUCCAUUAUUCCGUCACAAACACGCUCUUAGAGUUUCUCUCCUGCACACACACACACACACACACACACACACACACACAACCUUCUCAUUCAUUAGUAAUUAAUCUGAGAACCACAUCUCCUAUCCCCAGCAGCUGAAUAGAACUGUAGAAAUGCUCUCUUUGAAAAACACCCAGAGGUGACGCUGCCGGGGGCUGCAGGUGGGUUGUGGGCUGGGCCCUGCUGCGAUGCUCAGACCAGCCACCAGGGGGCAGAGGUGAGCGCCGACCGGCGAAUUCCACCGCCAGGCACGCCCGGGAUUGCCUGGGAGGCGGGCUCGGAGGGUCUCUGGUUCGGUGUCACCCAUCACUGCGGCUGUCAGCCCGCGUAAGAAUUCUGCCCGCGUCUCGGGCGAGCAGGCUGGGCCCAGCGAAUAAGCAAGCGAUUCCUAAUGAGUGCGGGCGGGGUGAAUUCCGCCUCGGGCCAGUACAGAUACCUCUUUUCCAGAAACAAAAGAGUGAGUCAUCCUGCCUCUGAUAAGGGAAGGAAAAGAGGCAGAGCUGGGCGAGUCCGCUGGGUCCCACCGCAGCCAUGCGUCUCCCCGGCGUUCCUGUUCGCUCCUCUCAGUCUGGGUCCCUGGGGUCCCGGCGCCCACAGGCGCUUCUCCUACUCCCCCUCUCCUGAUAGCUGGACCGGUCACCCGUGUCGCCAGGGGAAGAUGGAUUGGCAGCCUCAAAGGGCCAGCCCAGCGAGCAUCCCAGCCCUGCGGGCGCGGCUGUGAACCGUGAUAGUUCUGCGAACUGGACGGCAGGUGGCGGUAACGGCACCUGUCAACCUGCUGGCUCCUCCGGCUGGAAUUGGAGCUCUGUGGAUGUGUUUUUCAUAGGUCAGCCCCCAGACACACACACACACACACACACACACACACACAUUCCUGGUGCCCCACUGGCAUUCCACUCCUAAAAUAUUCUAAAAUGGGAGUAAUACCAUUAAUAAAAUAGUAAUAAUAAACAUUUAUUGAGAGCUAAAAGUGCCAGGCAUGAACUGUUUUUACAUAAACGGUAGUAAAAUAAU